rnacentral:rRNA from 1 species
GAAUGGCAUCACGAGAACUAAUCUGUCUCCCUCCCCUAAUCAGUGAAACUGAUCUCCCCGUGCAGAAGCGGGGAUAAUAUCAUAAGACGAGAAGACCCUGUGGAGCUUAAAAUCAAAAAUCAACUGCUUCUCCCACCUAUACUAAAGAAACAUUUUCCGCAAGCCUGAUUUAGAUUUUCAGCUGGGGCGGCUGUGGAGAAAAAUAAAUCCUCCACGAAUAUUUAUGCUGAAAGCCACCGCGAUAGGCAUUAAUAAACUUAAUUUUAAUUGACCCAAUUUUUGAUCAACGAACCAAGUUACCCCAGGGAUAACAGCGCAAUCCACUUUCAGAGUCCUUAUCGACAAGUGGGCUUACGACCUCGAUGUUGGAUCAGGGCAUCCUAGUGGUGCAGCCGCUACUAAAGGUUCGUUUGUUCAACGAUUAAAGCCCU